GUGCCAGCCGCCGCGGUAAUACCGGCAGCCCGAGUGAUGGCCGAUCUUAUUGGGCCUAAAGCGUCCGUAACUGGCUGCGCAAGUCCGUCGGGAAAUCCACCUGCCCAACAGGUGGGCGUCCGACGGAAACUGUGUGGCUUGGAACCGGAAGGCUCAGAGGGUACGUCCGGGGUAGGAGUGAAAUCCCGUAAUCCUGGACGGACCGCCGAUGGCGAAAGCACGUCGCGAAGACGGAUCCGACAGUGAGGGACGAAAGCUAGGGUCUCGAACCGGAUUAGAAACCCUUGUAGUUC
rnacentral:rRNA from 1 species